rnacentral:misc_RNA from 1 species
AGCGUCAUUGCACCCCUCAAGCGCAGCUUGGUCUUGGGCUUCCGCCCCUUGCGGCGGGCCCGAAAAGCAGUGGCGGUCCGGUGUGACUUCAAGCGUAGUAAAUUUAUCCCGCUUUGAAAGUUCGCGCCGUGGCCUGCCAGAGAACCCCAUAGGCUUCAAUAAUUGACCUCGGAUCAGGUAAGGAUACCCGCUGAACUUAA